UACAGAGGUCUCAAGCGUUGUUCGGAUUCAUUGGGCGUAAAGGGUGCGUAGGUGGCGCCGUAAGUCAGGUGUGAAAUUUCGGAGCUUAACUCCGAAACUGCAUUUGAUACUGCGGUGCUUGAGGACUGGAGAGGAGACUGGAAUUCACGGUGUAGCAGUGAAAUGCGUAGAUAUCGUGAGGAAGACCAGUGGCGAAGGCGGGUCUCUGGACAGUUCCUGACACUGAGGCAGCGAAGGACCAGGGGGAGCAAACGGG
rnacentral:rRNA from 1 species